rnacentral:rRNA from 1 species
GCAUAAUCUCUAAGGAGAAAAGCAGGGGAUGCCAAGACCUUGCGCUUUUGGAGCGGCCGAUGUCUGAUUAGCUAGUUGGUGAGGUAAAGGCUUACCAAGGCUUCGAUCAGUAGCUGGUCUGAGAGGACGACCAGCCACACUGGGACUGAGACACGGCCCAGACUCCUACGGGAGGCAGCAGUGGGGAAUUUUGGACAAUGGGGGCAACCCUGAUCCAGCCAUGCCGCGUGAGUGAAGAAGGCCUUCGGGUUGUAAAGCUCUUUCAGCCGGAACGAAAAGGUUACGGUUAAUGCCCGUGACUAAUGACGGUACCGGAAGAAGAAG